AUCACGGUAGUCUCUUGAGCGCCUUCCAGCAGUGCGUUAAGCGAUACGACUAAUAUCUGUCACGCGUGUUCUCCCAUCCCAAUCCAGGGUGAGAGCUUGCAGACGAUCAGCUGAUAAAGGACAGGCACAAACCUCCGAGAAAUCCCUGGAUGCUCCAGAUCCUUUCCUCAGAACAGAGCUUGAGAAUUCCUGGAGUGUCGAAGGUGGGCUUGAGUUCCCCUACCAGUCCUUGAGAGGGUGGCAUGAAGUCCCUAGACAUGAGGAUGGUUUAAAGUCCUGAACGAAGUGUGUAUGGACCAUGGUGCUAAGGACCAGGUUUUGUAACAACGAUAGAAGCCAUGACGACCCAAGAAUAAGCGCUGCGACGUCUACUAGCAACACGGCUUCUUAUACAGCAGCUUCUCGUCUGCCCCAACCCAGAAUAUACCCAGCUUAGAGCCGUGAUCUGCCCAGCACGUACAUGGACACUUUUCCUGAUUGAUUUUGACAGCAGAACUGGGCAUCACUAUGCUAAUUAAACAUCUGGGAUUAUUAAGUGAAAAUUAAUCUUCAUGGCAGGAGCCUGCAUUGGUUGAAUGUAACCCCCAUGAGAAUUUGAAGUCCUACUGCACUCUCUGCAGAUGAGAGCCCUUUCUCUGAAGGUAACUAAUUGACCUGACAGUCAGGCAAGAGGGGUUGAAACUACUAACCGAUUAAGCACCCACUUCUUCACCCUUAGAGGGAAAGAAAAUUAAAAAGGGUGAGUUUUUAAGAUUACUCUAGUACUGAAAACACAUGCACCCCUGCCUUGCACUAUGAAAUCACAGCAAGGUGCACAUUU